CUGCGCAGACCGAUCACCUUAUGACAAAACGCAUGCGGACUUAGAAUAACAUCUCUAAAGCAUACAGAGCAGUCAGUUCACAAAUAGCUCUCACUGUGCUUUGAUGUCGCCGAUCCGUCUGCGAUCAAAAAUCAGUGGCACGAGUAUUCACCGGUGUUGUUCCGCUCGCGCGACAGACGGGAAUUCAAAAUAACGGAUCGCAACAACCUCUCGACUGUCCCAUUGGAUAAUUUUCAGUAUUUUCCAGUUGAGCAGCAAAAAAAUGGGCAACCAAGGCCAACAGACCCAGCCCACCCUGAUGCUCAUCCUUGCACUGCCUGGGACACCUAAGGCCAACAGGCGCAGCUCCUGUUCUCUUUUUGCCAUAA